rnacentral:rRNA from 1 species
UACGAAGGGGGCUAGCGUUGCUCGGAAUGACUGGGCGUAAAGGGCGCGUAGGCGGAUGGCACAGUCAGAUGUGAAAUUCCCCGGGCUUAACCUGGGGGCUGCAUUUGAUACGUGUGAUCUAGAGUGAGGAAGAGGGUCGUGGAAUUCCCAGUGUAGAGGUGAAAUUCGUAGAUAUUGGGAAGAACACCGGUGGCGAAGGCGGCGACCUGGUCCUUGACUGACGCUGAGGCGCGAAAGCGUGGGGGAGCAAACAGG